GUGAUGGAGUGUGCCCCUGGAUAUCUGUAAAUGAUGUCUUAGUGAUGGAGUGUGCCCCUGGCUAUCUGUAAAUGAUGUCUGAGUGAUGGAGUGUGCCCCUGGAUAUCUGUAAAUGAUGUCUGAGUGAUGGAGUGUGCCUCUGGAUAUCUGUAAAUGAUGUCUGAGUGAUGGAGUGUGCCCCUGGAUAUCUGUAAAUGAUGUCUGAGUGUUGGAGUGUGCCCCUGGAUAUCUGUAAAUUAUGUCUGAGUGUUGGAGUGUGCCCCUGGAUAUCUGUAAAUUAUGUCUGAGUGAUGAGUUUUGCCCCUGGCUAUCUGUAAAUAA
ensembl:lncRNA